ensembl:lncRNA
AGCCGGUUGACAAGCUCACGAAUUAGGCAAGCUGAUGCUAAGCAGAAAUGAGAGAGAACAUCAGGGCACCAUGAUUUGCAUUCUUAAUUUCAUCACUCGUCUUUAACUGAACUUCAGCCCGACAGAAGUGUUGCAACAAGAUUAUUGCGUCACAGCGAAAUAAAAAAACAUAAGAUGAACGCAAAAUUGUCUUUCCACAUCGUUCCCAGCUAACUCUUUGCUAACUUUACUCUGCACGAUAUUUUCCCCAAACAAUAAACAUUGUUCCAUUGUAAGGAGGUCGUCAACCAACUAUUUCGAAAUAAAAGUAGCCUAAGAUAGACUCCAAGUAGUAGCCUAGGUCUAAUUAGGAGGCUUAAUGUUGAAAGAAGUCCAUUAUUGCUAUUAUUCACAAUAGGCGAGGCUAUAUUGACAGAGGGGGCUAAGAUAGAGUUCAUUAAAAUAAUGAAAUUAUUCAAACAGACCACCAAUGGGCUCAUUCACAUGGUUUAUUAUCAUUAGUUAUUUUCAGUAGAUCUAUCCAUUCUCCAUGUAGGUCUAGUUGUUGCGGGGUCAUGUUCUGGUCAUCAUUCAACUAAUAUUUGUCUUCCUGCUCUAAAGCACAUUUUUGUAGGUAUCUGUUCAGCUUCAAGGCCGAACUGGCCUGUAAAGAUGGCUCCAGAAUAAGAAUGUCAAAUACACCAUGUGUUCAAUGAUCAAAUACACCAUGUGUUCAAUGAUCAAAUACACCAUGUGUUCAAUGAUCAGAAAUCAAAUGUGGGACACAUGGUAAACGGAUGUCUUAUUUAAUUUAUAUUUUAAUUAUUUUUGAAAAUAGACACUUUUUUUUUUUUUUUUUAAACAUAAUUUGUAUAUUAUGAACGCUGUGUUCUUUACAGGAAUGUAUAUGAAUCUGAUUGCAAACACAUAAUCCCAUGGACCACAUACCAGAGAUGAUUGAUUUGUUUGGUGGAGUUUAAGCGAUCGUUGGAGAGGGUCUCCAGAUUAAUAAUACUGAGUUCACAUUAUUUAAACAAGCAGUGCACAGCAAUAAUACUCUUAUCACGCUAAAAUUCAUAUUUUACUUAAACCAUUAUUGUCUGUGAUGGCAAGUAAGAAAGCAUCAACUGUAGUUUCUUUUACAUACUUGUACAUUCUUUCUUCUGCUUUCUAGGGAGGCAGGUACUUUUCUAUAGUGGAAGGGCAUACUUGGCUAUAAUACGUGUGGGUGCUACUUUGCCUGAGCAUAAAGUACUGUUUCAUGUGACUAUUAGCAUACAGAAAGGGUAUGUGAUUUGAUCUAGUAUUAUUGUCCUAGAGGGAUAUGUGUGUACUUAAUGAACAUCACCUGGGCCGGCUCCUCAUCCACGCUCUCAGGCUCAGGCUCAGGCUCAGGCUCAGGCUCAACAUGUCUCUUUUCAGGCUCUUUGUGCUGCUUAGUAAUAACUGUAAAAACAUGAACAAGGGUGAAUGAAGCACAGUGUUUACAGCUGCUGAAACCUUAAUAUUAGGGUCACAAUAGUAAGCCACAUGAAACAGAUCCUGUCACCUCUCUCCAUUUGGCUACCACUAAUAGUACUGAAUUGUGCACACACACACACGAUGUUCAAUUACAGUUUUUCAGAAAAGAUUUCAAUCCAGUGUCCUAAGAGCAUAGAAAGAUCUACCCUCCUUAUCAUUUUCUAAAUUUUGAAUUUAAUAAACAUUGUAGAGAAAUGUUUUUAGAACAAUUUUAUUGAAAAUGUAUAACAUGUCCAAUGCAGUGGACAAUAGGACUUCAUUGUUCUUGGGUGAAGCAAACUCAGCGGAAUAUGGCAAGAUUCACUGCAAUCAUUCAGCAGUAGAACAGACAAAACAGGUCAUUUGUUUUCAUAUACACAUUUAUACACACACUGCCCUCCCACCCAUCAGUUGUCAUUCAUUUACUAAAUGUUGGGAGCACUAGGGCUCUAGAAGAUUCCAUGUGAUGCAGUCAGUGGAGACAGAAUGGGUGCUGGUGUCGGUAUUCCUACCUGGAGUUUCUGCCUUGGUAGUGACAACCUCACUUUCAUCGUUGAAUUCUUCCUUAACAUUCAGCUCUGAAUAUAAGACCAAAUAAUGUAAGGUCAUGCCCGUAAACAAAACAGGACACAUACAUACGUGAUCACAGGGAGAAAUAGCUUCACAUAAUGCAAGGAGAGAAAUGUAGGUAGAUGAAUACACAGACUGAGAGAGAGUCACAGAGACAAGGAGAGUAUAGAGUACAGAGAGAAAGAAAUAUAGAAAUGGGUGAUGGUGGUGACGACCUAACAACCUAAAUUAGAGAUAGAGUUAUAGAAGGGAUAAAAAAGAAAAGUGGGUGGAUAGAUAGAUAGAUAGAUAGAUAGAGAGAUAGAGAGUGAGUGAAGGAGAGAUGCAGGGAAAGCAGCACUGACAGGUGACUGUUGACAAUGGACAGUUAUACAAUGUUAAAGUCAUGAACACUCCACCAUUCGUAACAAUAGGAAGAUGUUACUUUUAAGUUUAAAAUGUACAAAAAUCCAAGAAUAGAAAGCGUAAAUCUGCAUUGGUCUUGCUGUAAGCAGGAAUGAGGGGGCCAAGCAGAAAAGCAGGGCAUAGUUGUCAUGGAAACUUGAUGUCACUAUGUCAAGGGCAUUACCGUAAGCACUAACAGGAAGUGUUAUGUUAAUUGACCAAAGAUCAGCCAAGAUUGAGCUCACUGCAUUUUUGACGGCUUUGCUGCCUUAUUUGAAAUGCUGUACUCAGUGGUCAAAUGAUGUAAUGUUUUUUUUUCACAACCUCAGGAUAGUGUCCCGACUCCAUAUAGCAAGUUUGGUGUGAAUUCAUCAAACAGCUGCUGAGACUUAGUGUUUAGUGGCCGCAUCAAAUAGGCUGAGAUGACAAGUUGCCACGUCUCCUCCUUGGGACCUCCAACAGUAUUACGAAAAAUAAGAUUUCUUUUUGGAGGCAAACACAUCAACAGUUAUUAGCCAAAACACAGAAUGGAGUCCUGAGGCCAGGUUCCAAGUUUAAUACAUCUAAGUGUCGCUGGGAUUUGACCUGGUGGGCAAAUGCUUCAGAAAAUCAAGAAGCCAUAUGGAUAUCUUUAUGAGGCUUGGACAGAAGAUCUUCUGUGCCAAUUUGGUGAACAUUUUUCAGAGAUAAAAACCCAGUAUGGCAGAAGUUGACGUCAUAGCUUGAUCCAUGGAUCCAAUGUUACCUCACUUUUGAAAAUCAUCAUACGAUUCAAGAAGGAGGUACUAGGGCACUCGGGGCGCAGGCAUGAAACCGGGUGAAAAGAAAAAGGGGAUUGUGCCCAAACGGUGUGACAAAUUUCAAAACUUUUGACCAUACGGCUCCAGGGACUCUGGCCAAACGAGGAUACUUAAAUGUGCCACUUGAGACACUAUUAGGCACCUCCGUUCAAUUUGAAUGGGAAAAUAAUGAGCUGGUCAAUUGAAACUCUAGAUUAGGGCGGUCCUGUGAAUUCUAGAAAGGUGUCGAUAUCAUGAAAACUGUGCGUGGAGUUAAGGCAGGAAAAACAGGGUGAAUGGCCUAUGGCGCAACCACGUGAUAAUAAGACUAGGCAGACACACUCAGGGUGCCUCUGCAGCUUUUCUACUUGGCCCCCAAAAAAUAGCCUCAAGCAGCAAUAAGGGGGCCAAGCAGCCAGCAGGGCAUAGUUGCCAUGGAAUCUUGAUGUGAUUAUGUCAAGCGAAUGGCUUUAAGCACUCACAGCAGGUGUCAUGUCAAUUGAUCAAAAAUUGGCUGCAAUAUUUAAUCAUACUUCCAGUUUGGCAGCUUUGCUGCCGAUUUCGAUUGGCUGUAAUGAACAAACUAUAAAAAAAAAUUGAAAUCCAUCUGAUAACCUUUGUGAGGCUUGGUCUAAAGAUCAUAUGUGCCAAUUGUGGUGAGGACUGGAAAAAAAUCUGUGACCAGUAAAUAUUUUUUAUACUUUUCAUAAAACCCAAUAUGGCAGCCACAUCAAUUAGGUUAACAUGACAAGUUGCCAUGACUUGAACUUGGGACCUUCCCUGGUGUUACUAGCCAUCAUUAUUUUGAAGGCUAACACAUCACAGUUAUUAGCCAAAACACAUUUUUCUUUAUUGCAGUGCGCCACAGUGGUCAAAUGACAAAGAUUUUUGUGCUUCCUCAAAAUGGGUUCCCGAGUACAUGUACCAAGUUUGGUUUUGACACCUGUGCCAAAUUUCGAGAGGAUUGGACAAAAUGUGUAGCCUGUUUUUGAUCAAAUCCAAUAUGGCGGAAAAACCAAUAUGGCAGAAAUUGACAAAGUUGAACUUGACUUGAUCCACAAAUCCAGUGGCACCUUGUUCAUGAAAAUCAGAAAGUCAGUUCAAAAGUGCAUAAAUGAAAAGGUAAAAACACCAGCUUUUCUGCUUGGUCCCCAAUAAUAAGUAACAAAAUAACAAUUGAUGCUUUCGUUUGCAAACUCUAUCAUAGUCAAAUGCAAUCGGAUAACAAUAUAGUGCUUCAUUUCACAAGCACUCUAAUGACUAUAAUGAUAGUCUAGAAAAUGCAGUUUAUUUUGGUAUGUAAUAUUAAGGGCUGAGUAAACCUGAUAAAGCUAAAGAGGUACACAUGUUUGUAAAGGAUCAUGUCUAGUCCAAAGGGAGGGGUCUUGUAUAGUUAUUUUUCUAAAAUGGCCAAUGAACUACAUAUUACAAAACUUAAUUUCGCCGUCAUCCAAUGAGAGUGUAUCCUGAAAUUUUGAGAUGUUGUGAAUGUGAUCGAAGGCUGUAUCAUAUAAUCAGUUCUUGAAUUUGAGAUCAAAAUCAAGUGACUGACAUUGUUGGUAUUGGCCUGGCUAACUAGCUCAAGCCAACAGUUGGCA